rnacentral:tRNA from 1 species
GUGGGGAUGUGGCUCAGUGGUAGUGCACUUGCCUAGCAGGUGUGAGGCACUGUGUUCGAUUCUCAGCACCACA